rfam:Picea glauca, whole genome shotgun sequence.
ACAUGCCUACAACAUAGUGUUAAUUCACCGUAUCCCAUUAGAACUCUGUAGUUAAGCACACUCAGGCUAGAAUAGUACUAGGAUGGGUGACCUCCAGGGAAGUCUUAGUGUUUUACAUGCC